CCCGCCACUAUAGCAGUUUAACCAUGGCUGUCUAUAAUCCAGUGGUGUGCUGAGACUAAAUACCAUCUUAGGAAACAGGUUUGAUCUCCAUGUGAUUGAACUUGUGCCGAAAGACUGGUGACAUGA